rnacentral:tRNA from 2 species
AGAAACUUAGGAUAAUGUACAAACCAGAGGCCUUCAAAGCCCCAAAUAAGAGCUAAACCCUCUUAGUUUCUG